AACGAACGCUGGCGGCAUGCCUAACACAUGCAAGUCGAACGAGACCUUCGGGUCUAGUGGCGCACGGGUGCGUAACGCGUGGGAACCUGCCCUUAGGUUCGGAAUAACUCCCCGAAAGGGGUGCUAAUACCGGAUAAUGUCUGCGGACCAAAGAUUUAUCGCCUUUGGAUGGGCCCGCGUUGGAUUAGCUAGUUGGUAGGGUAAAAGCCUACCAAGGCGACGAUCCAUAGCUGGUCUGAGAGGAUGCUCAGCCACACUGGGAGUGAGACACGGCCCAGACUCCUACGGGAGGCAGCAGUGGGGAAUAUUGGAAAAUGGGCGAAAGCCUGAUCCAGCAAUGCCGCGUGAGUGAUGAAGGCCUUAGGGUUGUAAAGCUCUUUUACCCGGGAUGAUAAUGACAGUACCGGGAGAAUAAGCUCCGGCUAACUCCGUG
rnacentral:rRNA from 1 species